ACGACCUCAGAUCAGACGAGACGACCCGCUGAAUUUAAGCAUAUUACUAAGCGGAGGAAAAGAAACUAACCAGGAUUCCCCCAGUAGCGGCGAGUGAAGAGGGAAGAGC
rnacentral:rRNA from 1 species